GGGGUGAUAGGAUACAGGUGGGAUGGAGGAGAAGAGAGGAGACAAGGGGUGAUAAGAUACAGGUGGGAUUAAGGAGAAGAGAGGAGACAAGGGGUGAUAGGAUACAGGUGGGAUGGAGGAGAAGAGAGGAGACAAGGGGUGAUAAGAUACAGGUGGGAUGGAGGAGAAGAGAGGAGACAAGGGGUGAUAAGAUACAGGUGGGAUGGAGGAGAAGAGAG